UCAGGUGGCCGCAGAGAAUAGGCCCAAGCGACUGUUUACCAAAAACAUAGGUUUCUGCUAAGUCGCAAGACGAUGUAUAGGAGCUGACGCCUGCCCGGUGCUGGAAGGUUAAGGGGAUCUGUUAGAGCAAUCGAAGCAGUGAACUUAAGCCCCAGUAAACGGCGGCCGUAACUAUAACGGUCCUAAGGUAGCGAAAUUCCUUGUCGGGUAAGUUCCGACCCGAACGAAAGGCGUAACGAUUUGGGCACUGUCUCAACAACAGACUCGGUGAAAUUGUAAUUCCGGUGAAGAUGCCGGAUACCUGCGACAGGACGGAAAGACCCCAUGGAGCUUUACUGUAGCUUGACAUUGGGUCUUGGUACUACAUGUACAGGAUAGGU
rnacentral:rRNA from 1 species